rnacentral:lncRNA from 1 species
UUCCACUGUCAGAAAUGAAGCACCGGGGAGCGCACAACACAAAAGUUAAAUGAAGGUUAAAUGGAAGCACUUCAAAGUGGGAGAUCCUCCACAGAAAAAUAACAAAAAAGGUUAAUGUGUGUUUUGUUGAGACAGCCCAGCAGCUUGUAGCUUUUGGGUAUGGCAAGUCUGAGGUCCAGUUUGGGCCGACUGCCUCAGGGCCUGGCAGUACAGGUUUCAUUUACCCAGUAACAACGACGACUAGCACACAAAUAGGGUUUUCUACAAAUGGCUUGAAACAGCAGUUUUCACCCAAUCCCCACUUGGUUGAUGCCGCAACUACUUCAAUGCCUCAAAACCUGGGAUGAAAACUCAGCAGCAUGGCGGGAUGGUCAUACAGCCUGUUAUACAUUACGUGUCCAACAUCCCCUUCUGCUGCUGGUGAUAACGAAGUGUCAUUAUCAGGUGGGGAAAGAGGAGAGGAUGAUACUGGUGUACGGGUAUUAGGUAGAUGUACUGGUGUAGGGGUAAUAGGUAGACGUAGUGGUGUAGGUGUAUUAGGUAGAUAUAGGGAUGUAGGGGUAUUAGGUAGAUGUAGUGGUGUAGGGGUAUUAGGAAGAUGAAGGGGUAUAGAGGAAAUAAGUAGAUGUAGUGGUGUAGGGGUAUUAGGAAGAUGAAGGGGUAUAGAGGAAAUAAGUAGAUGUAGUGGUGUAGGGGUAUUAGGAAGAUGAAGGGGUAUAGAGGAAUUAAGUAGAUGUAGUGGUGUAGGGGUAUUAGGAAGAUGAAGGGGUAUAGAGGAAUUAAGUAGAUGUAGUGGUGUAGGGGUAUUAGGUAGAGGUAGUUGUGUUUGUGGUAUUAGGUAGAUGUAGAGGUAUUAUGUAGAUGUAGUGGUAUUAUGUAGAUGUAGUGGUGUAGGGGUAUUAGGUAGACGUAGUGGUGUAGGGGUAUUAUGUAGAUGUAUUUGUGUAGGGGUAUUAGGUAGAUGUAGGGGUAUUAGGUAGAUGUAGAGGUAUUAGGUAGAUGUAGGGGUAUUAGGUAGAUGUAGUUGUGUUUGUGGUAUUAGGUAGAUGUAGUGGUAUUAUGUAGAUGUACUGGUGUAGGGGUAUUAGGUAGAUGUAGGGGUGUAGGGGUAUUAGGUAGAUGUAGUUGAGUUUGUGGUAUUAGGUAGAUGUAGUGGUAUUAUGUAGUUGUGUAGGGGAAUUAGGUAGAUGUAGAGGUAUUAGGUAGAUGUAGGGGUGUAGGGGUAUUAGGUAGAUGUACUGGUGUAGGGGUAAUAGGUAGACGUAGUGGUGUAGGGGUAUUAGGUAGAGGUAGUGAUAUAGGGGUAUUAGGUAGAGGUAGUGAUGUAGGGGUAUUAGGUAGAGGUAGUGAUGUAGGGGUAUUAGGUAGAGGUAGUGAUGUAGGGGUAUUAGGUAGAGGUAGUGAUGUAGGGGUAUUAGGUAGAGGUAGUGAUGUAGGGGUAUUAGGUAGAUGUAGUGGUGUAGGGGUAUUAGGUAGAGGUAGUGAUGUAGGGGUAUUAGGUAGAGGUAGUGAUGUAGGGGUAUUAGGUAGAUGUAGUGAUGUAGGGGUAUUAGGUAGAGGUAGUGAUGUAGGGGUAUUAGGUAGAUGUAGUGAAUUAGGGGUAUUAGGUAGAGGUAGUGAUGUAGGGGUAUUAGGUAGAGGUAGUGAUGUAGGGGUAUUAGGUAGAGGUAGUGGUGUAGGGGUAUUAGGUAGAUGUAGUGGUGUAGAGGUAUUAGGUAGAUGUAGGGGUGUAGAGGUAUUAGGUAGAUGUAGUGGUGUUAGGUAGAUGUAGUGGUGUUAGGUAGAUGUAGUGGUGUUGGGUAUUAGGUAGAUGUACUGGUGUAGGGGUUUUAGGUAGAUGUAGGGGUAUUAGGUAGAUGUUAGGGGUGUAGAGGUAUUAGGUAGAUGUAGUGGUGUUAGGUAGAUGUAGUGGUGUUGGGUAUUAGGUAGAUGUAGUGGUGUAGGGGUAUUAGGUCGAUGUAGCGGGGUGGG